UUGUAAAUAUUCUUGCUGUUCUGGUUUUAUAAUAAUCAGGGCAGGCUAAACAUUGGCUGUAUUAAGACCAUGCAUAUGCCCCCAGACCUAGUUCUUUCCCCAGGUCUGGUUUUAUCAGUGAUGGUGAUAAAC
ensembl:snoRNA SNORA72 Small nucleolar RNA SNORA72